rnacentral:lncRNA from 1 species
UUCUCCUUUAAAACAAAACAAAUCUCAGACAAAUCUCCUUCAAUCGAUCAACAGAAUUUCUCAGCUCUAAUCGGUAAUUCACCGUUCUCUCUCUCUCUCUCUCUCUCUCUCUCUCUCUCUCUCAACAUAGUUUUGUCAAAGUCUCUUUUAGUAUUAUCAAUUUUGAAUUUUGAUUUUUUUUUGUCCAAUUUCGAUUUUCACUUAUCCACUCCUAUCUAAAUAUGUUUUUCUAUAAUCGUAUUUUGUUUAAUAUUUCGUUUCAAACCCUAGAUCUUGUCAUUCACUCUGCGCUUUUACUAUAGCAGGAAACGAUAGAGGAUGACUGCUUAGAGAUUUGGGCCAGCCGCUGAGUGAAGGCCCUCCCUCAAUGCUAUUUCCAAAGAUGAUGUCGUCCUCGUGGUGAGAGGAGAGAGAAGAGAGCAUCGUGUUGUCACAACGUCCACAACAACGAUUCCAAUUAAUCACUAGAACCAAAAACUCUAUAUUCUUUAAAACCCAUAAUCAUUUUCAUGACUUAACUCUUUUUCUCCCUAUAAAUCUGUGUAUGUGGGUACAUAUACAAACCUCAAGAACAAUUAUAAUUUCAUGAGAAUAAUUGAUUGUAUUUUAAAUUGGGGGUUAUGGCUGGAGGUUGUGGGCGUUAUGAUGAUGAUGGUUAUUUGCUGACGAGUUGAAGUGAUUCACAAUGAUGGUGAAAAAAAGUUUCGAUAAGUGGUGGGAUAGUGGUGGUUGAAGAUUGCUUUUUUUUUUUUAUUUACUAGUUUGAGUUUUGCUUGAGUGUUGAUGUGAUUGGAGUUGUGUGGAUUGUGUGGGUGUGGGCUUGGAACGUGAUUUUGGUUUAAAUGGUGGUGGUGGGUUUAUUCCAAUCGUACAUGAUGAUUAUGUUAUUUGUUUUGUUUUUUUCCCCUUAAAUUUGUUAUGUGUUUACUGAUUUAUCAGUUCUUUUACUUUUAUGUCCCCUUAAUCUAUAAUAUAUUUGAAAGAAACUUUAUCAAUUUUUUUUAAUUACACAGAAAGAUUAGUUUGCCACAUCAGAAUACUAUGUCCUAAAUUGUUAAUAAACCUGAUAAAAUUGGCCCAAGCCCGCGGACUAGAAC